GUUAAAGUAAUAUUGCAGGGUUCAAAGCCCAGCACUUUGGCCUGGUGACCUUGUUCUUGCCCAUUGGCGUGCUUACUGUCUCUUUGGUGUCACAAGGAGGUAAGAAGGCUUUGUGACAGCAGAUUGUAAAUUCACUGAUCGCUGCAGCAAGGGAAAGCCAUGCUCUGCCCAGAAACAGGGCCGCCCCAGGCAAGUCCCACUUGAAGUUUCUUGGGAUGGAGUUGCCGGGUCCCUAGUGUGCCGUCCUGCUGCUCAUGGACAGCACGGCAGAGGCAUGAAGCUGAGACAACCAUUUCUGGGAGAUCCUGGGAACUCAAGCAAAGCCAAGAACGCGCAAACAGCUCCGCUCUUCCAAAGGGCCAGAUGGACCAGGGUGGGUGGCGCAAGGGAUUGAAGGCCCUGGAGGCCUAGGGCCCUGGCUGUGCUCAGGCCGGGCGCACCUAGAGCUGCAGCUCAGGGGUCAUUAAUCUCCACGUAGCAUUUCACUUGGGAAAUGCUGUCGAAGCCUCCCAUGAGCCAAAGUCCUCAAGAGGCAGAGCAGGUGCAAUCUGUCACUGCACCCACCCUGGGGGAAAGGCCUCGGUCACGGGAAAUUAAUGACACAGGGACAAGGGCUUGCCAUCAUUUUUCA
rnacentral:lncRNA from 1 species